UGGCGUAAUUGAAGAAGUUUUUAUUGAGUAGCUAGAUGGAUUUGUGAUUCAUAAGAAAGAAUCACAUGUAUGCAGAUUGAAAAAUGCCUUGUAUGGCCUUAAGCAAGCUCCUCGUGCUUGGUAUGAAAGAAUUGAUCGACAUUUGUUGAGCUUGGGUUUUCUCAAAAAUGUACAGAUCGAAAAAUAUCUAUUUCAAGGUAAUUGAUGGUAAAGCUUUAAUUUUAGUUCUAUAUAUUGAUGAUUUAUUUCUUACUGGAGAGGAUGAUCUCAUUGCUAGAUGUAAGAAAGAGUUAUCUUCUGAAUUUGAGAUCAAAGAUCUUGGUUUGAUGCAUUAUUUUCUUGGUCUAGAAGUGUGGCAAAGACCAAAUGAAAUCAUUUUGAAUCAAGGGAAAUAUGUGUUGGUGUUGGAAAUAAGCCACACCCGGGCCAACGAUGGACUGGUCCAAGAGGGGCCAGUAGCUUAGUAGUAGAGCACUCCAACAACGUAUGGAAGGUCCUAGGUUCGAGUCCUAACUGGUCCAUGUCUCAACAUGGUAUCAGAGCCAGGUCCAGGCUAGGAGCCCCAAGCACACGAGAGGUGUGGCUUAAGAGGGUUUGUUGGUGUUGGAAAUAAGCCACACCCGAGCCGACGAUGGACUGGCCCAAGAGGGGCCAGUAGCUCAGUGGUAGAGCACUCCAACAACGUAUGGAAGGUCCUAGGUUCGAGUCCUAGCUGGUCCAUGUCUCAACAAUAUGCCAUUGACAUUUUGAAAAGUUUUGGUAUGUUAGAUUGUAAGUCUAUGACAACUCCCAUGGAAGCAAAUCUGAAAAAGUUACAUGAUGUUGCAGCUAGUUCAAAUUUAGUUGAUCCUUCUAUGUAUAGGCAAUUGAUUGGAUCUUUGAUGUCUUUAGUCAACACAAGGCCUGACAUAUGUUAUGCUGUUAACACUCUCAGUCAGUUUAUGAGUGAGCCUAGACAGAUUCAUUUUGUUGCAGCUAAACAUAUAUUGAGAUAUGUAUGUGGUACCGUGGGAUAUGGUCUGAAAUAUACUUCUUGUGGAGGUUUGAAAUUGCAAGGUUUUUCUGAUUUAGACUAGGCAGGAUGUGUACCCGACAGGAAGAGUACUUCCGGUUGUUGUUUUAGCUUAGGUUCGACUAUGAUUUCCUGGUGUAGCAGGAAGCAAUCAUGUGUGGCCCAAAGUACAACAGAAGCUAAAUAUGUUGCAACUGCUACAACAACUAGAGAAGUAGUGUGGCUUUGUAAAUUGCUUACAGGAUUGUUUGGACAGCCUUUGGAACCUAUAGUGAUUCAUUGUGAUAACCAAAGCUGUAUGAAGCUUUCGGUUAGUCUUGUUUUUCAUGAUAGAACCAAGCAUGUGGAAAUAAAAUAUCCUUACUUGAGAGAUAUGGUUCAAAGGAAAGCAAUGGAGCUCAAAUACAUUGGCAUUGGAGAGCAAACAACAAACAUUCUUACCAAGCCACUUCCUAGAGUGAAGUUUUGUUAUUUUCGAGAUAACCUUGGUAUUGUAGAGAAUGUUGCUCUUGCUGAGAGAGAAUCUCAAUUUCAAUGAUUUUUUUUAUAUAUAUAUGUUGAUUAAUGAGUUCUUCUCUGUGAGAGAGAAGUUUGAGGUGAAAUCCCUUGUAAUGCAUUUUUCUGUGUGAUGGAGAAAUUUGAGGUGAAAGCCCUUGAGGCUCUUUCCACUUAUGGGGGGGUAGCCAUAGUGGAUGUCAUGUUGAGAGACUCCAUGAAAACAUCACGAUGAGUGACUCUGUGAUGAGAGCUUGUCUUAUUUCACCUAUGGGAGCAGCCAUGGUGAACAUCAUGUUGAGUGAAUCCAUGAUGCCUAUCACGUUGAGAGAAUUUGUGAUUGAAUUUUGUUGUUUUCAUAUUCUUUGUUUAGGUUGAGAGACUCCAUGACUUGAAUAUCUGUUAAUGAUAUCUUCUUCGUUAAGAGGGAGUGUUAAAGAUGGUAACUUCAACAUAUAUCAUGCCUGUUGUAUUUAUGGAUUUUUUCCAGCUCUAUAUUUGAUUCACUUCACCGUUUGUGAAAUCUGGAAAAUAUUUUGGUGUUCUUCUACAUCUGUCACUGCUCUUCGAAGACCUUGUUGCUGUCACCGCCUUUGUAUUAGCUAGAAAACCGUUUCUUUUCUCUUACUUAAGUUCGCCAGUUUGUAAUGUGCGUCGGUGUGUAACUGACAUCGGUCUUUAUGAUUUACUUUUCGCCUUCUUCUUCUUGGCUCUAUCGGGUCUUGAGAUAUGUUAUUUAUUCCUUUGCCGUGGGUCAUUUAGAAGAUGAUCGAUAUUCUUUGAAGGAUCUUUUGCAGUGACUUUGUAUCUGCUCUUAUUUUCUGAGAUGGUCAUUUAUGUAUAGCAGUGAACAUUGAUGUGUGAAGAUUUACUCUAUUAGCAUCUUCUUCCAAGUAUUUUGUAAGCAGUUUUUUUUUUCAGAGAGUCAUAUUCUAUUUUGAACAUUAUCAAUCAGUGUUAAAAUGAUUGUCUUCUAAGUGCAAGAGUUGUGUACUUAUUUUGAGCUUUCAAUAAAAUCCAUUUUUGGUGUGGCUGGGUUUUUCACCCUCAGGUGGAGGGUUUUCCCAAGAUAAUUUGUUGUCUUCUUGUUCCCUUAAGUUUUCUUAGGUUCUUUUAUUUGUAUUUAUAGCUUUCUGGUUCUAAUUUUAACACUGAUAACUUGGUUAUUUUGUUAGUUAUAUGCAAAAACAUAUCCUGGAUCAAAUUUGCAACUUGAGAUGAUAUCAGAGUAGUUUAUUGGAAGUGAAUUGGUGAUGGAUUUUUAUAAAAUGCAAAGAUAGAAGCUGCGAAGACCAAGCCAUUUCGAAUUGAAGAUCAUUCCAAACACUCUCUCCAUGAUCAUUGCUUGAGGACGAGCAAUCUUGGGAAGGGCGGAGUGUCAUGUCCCCCACUAGUGUAUGUGUCAUGCCCCAUCAUAAGUAGGUAGCUGAAUAAAAAAGAAGGAAUAUAAGAUAUUUCCUUGAAUAGUAGACUCCUAAAUACAGAUCAGGUCACUAAAGAAAAAAACUUAUUAAAUACUAGUUGGGCAGCCUUUUUGUAAAUGCUACUUGGCUACCUUAAUUAAUCUUAGUUGGCAAUUAAGUAAUGAUUACAUCAAACUUGAAAGGGGACAGCGAUUCCUUGCAGGAUUGUGUCUCUAAAAACUAAAAGGCCAUGACUACCCACAAAUGAAGAUAUAAAAGUAGGAUUUCCGUUGGGUAAAAAGGAUGGCGAGGAAUGAGAUCUGAUUGAAUAAAAUGUAGAAAUAGCAGAUAAGAAGAUCAACAUGUGAACUGAGUAAAUUAUAGAAAUGUAAGAGAGCAAUAGAAUUAUUCCAGCUUUGAAUUAGAAUGAUUAUUUACUGCAGCUUUUUUAUCUAAAAUAUAAGAUAGUUCUGAUCUGCUAAAAAGGGGAACAAGAAGUUAAGAGAUCGAUUAAGCAAGUGAGAUCUUAUCUGAAUUUGAAAGACAACAAGUAAUUAUAUUAUUAAGCAGUAAUAAUCUAAAACUAUAUGACAGUAUGAUAUAGAGGAAAAAUAUUAUAUUCCUGAAGCAAUUGGUAUGCUAUAUGUUUAAUGCUAUGUUUGUUAGUUUGAGAAUUUAAUGAUGUAUUUAUUUAUUUAAGUAAUUAUGCAUUUGAUUUUUGUAAGGCAAUCAUAAUAAGAAUUGCAAGGUAACAUAAUAGGGAGGUGCAGGAGUAUGGGCCUCCUCAAUUAAUAACUCAACCCAUUGAUUUGGUACUUGUGGGGCAAGGGGUUGAAUUGUCGUGGUUGGAUGUUCAGCACCCUAUUGUGCUUUCCCCUCAAGUGUCUGAUGUGGUUGAUCCUUAGUAAUAAGUUAUAAUGUGCAUUUUUUCAAUAAGAGUUUCAUCAUUAUUUUGCUUCAUGUUAAUUGGUUAUUUAUCCAAAUUCAAUUUGUAUAGUGUAAGAAUACUCUUGUAAAUAAGUUGUAUUAUUGGUAUUGUUAUUCUUGGGCAAAAUUUAAGUAAAUCCAGAAGAGGGACAUUACAACUUGUGCCUUCGCUGAUCCAGUGUGUUCGUGGGUUGUGAACUGUUGCGGUAUUCAUGCUGAUGAUUUCACAUGUGUUCAUGUCUGUGUCAGGCCCUCGCUGGACUGAUGUGCUUGCAGGCUCCAUGCCCCUGCUAUGCUAUUGUGCUCACAAGUUUGGGCUGCUAUGCAUUCAUGUUGGGAAUUAGGUCACUCGAUUGUGGCUUCACUAGUUCGUAGCUCUAGUUCAUUGAAAAAAUAAAAAUAAAAAAUAAAAUAAUGUUUUACUUGUAACCUAAAAACAUUGAAAUUGGCCUAUUGUUUAUGAAGUUUUCAAUUGUGAUGAUUCAACAUGUAGAAUUAAAUAUUAUCCUUUGAAUGGAUGCCUAAAAUUCAGAAGUUGGACCUUCCAUUGGAGGGGGCAUAUCUCAUGGAUUCAUGAAGGAAGAUUGCUGCAUACAGACUAAGAGUUUGCAACUUCUACUACGCCUAUAUUUUCUUUUCAUGUUUGAUGGCUUUGACAUAAAGAAUUGAAGGGUUUGACAUGCCACAUGGAGGAGAUCUAUCUCAUGGAUUCAUUAAGGAAGAUUGUUGCAGGCCAGAUUGAGAGUUUGCAACUUCUACUACACCCAAAUUCUCUUAAUGGUUUCCUUUUUCUCAAAUUGCUUUUUCAAAAUUCAGGUUUUGAUCUAAGUUUUUAUUAUAAAUGAAGAAACUCAAUGACACAAAUUUAGUACAAAUAGUGAACAAGUGCACAAAGGUAGUCUAGGAAAAUAGAGUAAUAGGAUUUUUUAUAUUUUGUAAAUGGUUUGUUUAUAUUCGGCCAUCAUCUAGCUCUCUAGCUAAUUUUGCAUCUACAUCUCUUCUCCAUACACAAUAUUGAAUAAUGGUAUACUUGUAAUAUAAAUUUUUUUUAACUUGGCCCAUCGCUGAAGUUUUUAUUUGUGAUGAUUUUGACAUCCAGAAUUGAAGACUAUUCUUUGGAUUGUUGUCUAACAUUUAGGGGUUGGACAUGGCACAUGGAGGGCACCUAUCUCAUGGAUUCAUGAAGGAAGAUUGUUGCAUACCAGAUUGAGAGUUUGCAAUUACUACACCCAUAUUUUCUUAAUGGUCUCCUUUUUCCCAAUUUGGUUUUCCAAAAUAGAGGCUCAACUUGAAAUUUUUAUUUGAAAAAGUGAAUCAAUUAAACAAACAUAGUACAAGUCAUUAAACAAGUGCACACAAAUAGUCCAGGAAAAUAGAGUUAUAGGUUUUUAAUAUUCAGUAAAUGGGUUGUUAAUAUUUGGCCAUUAUCUAGCUCUCUAGCUAAUUUUGCAAUCUACAUAUCUCCUUUGCCUACACAUGAUUGAAUAAUUGUAGACUUGUAACCUAAACAAUUUGAAUUUGGCCUAUUGUUGAUUAUGUUUUUAUGUGUGAUGAUUUUGACAUGAAGAACUGAAGACUAUUCCUUGAACCAUUUCCUAACAUUUAGGGGUUGGUCUGGCACAUGGAUGGGAUCUAUCCAAUGGAUUCAUGAAGAAAUAUUGUUGCAGACGAGACUGAGAGAGUAUUCAACUUCUACUACACCUUUAUUUUUUUAAUGGUCUCCUUUUUACCAAUUUGGUUUUUGAAAAUUGAGGCCCAUCUCAGAAUUUUUAUUCAAAUGAAGAAACUAAAUUAAUUGCACAAACCUACUACAAGUAGUCAUUGAACAAGUGCACAAAAAUCGUCUAUGAAAACAAAGAGCCAUAGGGUUUUAAUAUUUAGUAAAUGGGCUAUUGAUAUUUGGUCAUUAUCUACCUCUGUAUCUAAUUUUUCUAUAUACACAUCUCCUCUCUGUACACACAAUUGAUUAAUGGUAUAAUUGUAACCUAAAAAAAUUGAAGUUAGCCCAUUGUUGAAGAAUUUUUCAUUUAUGAUGAUUUUGACAUGUAGAACUGAAGACUAUUCUCUUAAGUUUGAACUGUUGCAUAACUCUCGGGGGUUGGACCUGCCACAUGGAUGACAUUUAUAUCAUGGAUUCAUGACUGCAAAUGGACAAGUAUCAAGUACAUCUAUUUAUAUUGAAUUCAUGUCAUACUGUGUGUAUGAAGCUACAACUAUGUUUUUUUAGGUAUUAUCAAUAAAUGCAAUAAUGUUUCAUAAUUUAGGAAUAUUUGUUGUGAUUUUCUAAUAUUGAUUAGUUAUUAUAUUUGAUUUCUUUUUGGUUACAUGAUUUAUUGAUUAUGAAAUGCUUGAGAAGGUUGCUACCCUGUUUAGGCAAAAGCUCAUGACUGCAGGUGCUAACUCAUGACUGCAGGUGCUAAAGUAUAUCCACAAGACAUUGACAAUGCUCACUUUUGUGACGUAUAACAGUUGUUUAUUUUCACAUAAUUUUUGAUGAAUUGAACCAUUCUUAACUAAUUUUCUUCUCCAGAAAUUUUGAAUUUUCAGUAUGGUGACAUCUUUUGUAAGUUCAUGCUGGCUGUAGGUUGUAGCUACAUACAAUUUGGUGGACUUUUAGGCCUUUCUCAGUAAUGGAUUUAUUUGUAUAAAUAUAGAAUAUAGAAAUUCUUACAAACCAUGAUGAAUUUUUCUUGAAUUAAUUUAUUUGAAGAAGUAUCAAUUUGGCAAAUUUGUGAGUUUCGUUUGUUUUCUUUUUAAUUAUCUGUUGGUGAUGAAGUCAAUUUGAUUGGGUAUUGACAAUAUGUGAGUAAGAUUGCAAAUGCAGGUCUUAAGGCUUUCUACUGGGAUUUAAGCUCUCCCAGCCUUCCUGGUUGCUGGUGUAGGUGCUCUUGUUUGGAUGGUGGAAUACUACUUUGUCUUUAUUGAUUUUAAUGGUUCGACUUUUGAUAUGUAACAUUAUAAACUGCAGCAUGAUAUAUUAUUACUGUAAGAUUUGUUUGUUAUGAAUGUAGCCUUCUUAACUCCUAUUGAAAACCUCAAUUAGAGAAGAGCUUUUGCCCGAUAUGAAGCAUCUUUAGCCUAUUAAAUGAGAUUUAAUAUGUUUGUUAUGAACUUAGUCUUCUUAACUGCUAUUGCAAACCUCAAUCAGAGAAGAGCCUUUGUUUGAUAUGAUACAUCUUUAGCCUAUCAAAUGGAAUUUCUUAUGUUUACUGCCCUUUUUGACUUUUUGAAUUUAUGUUGCAGGGGAGUUGUAAGGCCUUGCUUGUAAUGAACGUUUUGGGAUAAUUUUUUGACCUUCCAUGGUCAUUGCCCUUAUUCAUUUAAUUAUAAUGGGUACUUCAUUGAUGGAAAAUGUCUUUGCUUUAUGAGGAUUUAUUGGGAAUGAGUAAUCACUCAUGAAAAUUGCAAUCGACAUGGAACAUGCAAUUCAACUGAAAUCUGUGAUUGUGAACUGGGUCAUACACGGACUGACUGUUUAACUGGUGUGAUCCAUUCAUUUAAUAUUUUUUCUAUUUCAUGAAUACUCUCUGUUUAGCAUGAUCUUUGUCAAAUGGUGCAUGUAGCAACUAAACCAUGGUUUUAUUUAUGCAAACAAAGUUUUUACAAUUUCCAAUUAAUGAAGACUGCCCUCUUUUCUUACAUUAAAUAAUCUAGACCUUUGACAAAUUGUGUUAAUUUGCUGCUGGAUGUAAUGAGAAAAUGUAGCUUACAUGGAGGCAUUUGUGAUAAUUUUAACGCUUCCAUAAGGUGCAGGGGGUAAGCAUUGGCCAUAUGUUGUUGGAGCAUUGUGCAGUUUGAGAAGGUUAAGGCUAAAGCCCUAUAGAGCUGCUAUU